rnacentral:rRNA from 1 species
GGGAGCUUGCUCCCUGAUGUUAGCGGCGGACGGGUGAGUAACACGUGGGUAACCUGCCUGUAAGACUGGGAUAACUCCGGGAAACCGGGGCUAAUACCGGAUGGUUGUUUGAACCGCAUGGUUCAAACAUAAAAGGUGGCUUCGGCUACCACUUACAGAUGGACCCGCGGCGCAUUAGCUAGUUGGUGAGGUAACGGCUCACCAAGGCAACGAUGCGUAGCCGACCUGAGAGGGUGAUCGGCCACACUGGGACUGAGACACGGCCCAGACUCCUACGGGAGGCAGCAGUAGGGAAUCUUCCGCAAUGGACGAAAGUCUGACGGAGCAACGCCGCGUGAGUGAUGAAGGUUUUCGGAUCGUAAAGCUCUGUUGUUAGGGAAGAACAAGUACCGUUCGAAUAGGGCGGUACCUUGACGGUACCUAACCAGAAAGCCACGGCUAACUACGUGCCAGCAGCCGCGGUAAUACGUAGGUGGCAAGCGUUGUCCGGAAUUAUUGGGCGUAAAGGGCUCGCAGGCGGUUUCUUAAGUCUGAUGUGAAAGCCCCCGGCUCAACCGGGGAGGGUCAUUGGAAACUGGGGAACUUGAGUGCAGAAGAGGAGAGUGGAAUUCCACGUGUAGCGGUGAAAUGCGUAGAGAUGUGGAGGAACACCAGUGGCGAAGGCGACUCUCUGGUCUGUAACUGACGCUGAGGAGCGAAA